AGCCAUUCUCUUAAUCAAGGACAUUCUGAUAAGGUUGACCAUAUGUUAGACAAAUUCAAAAGAUAGUUGCUAUGGUAAUUAAGUUUAUAGGAAAUCUGAAUGUAAUGGGAUGGUCACUCUUGUGGUUAUUUCCUGUUGUGUAUUUGUAAGAAAGCAGUGAAACGAAGAAAACAAAAAGAGAAAAUCAUAUUAUCUGAGGUUCAAAGAAAAAGAAAGUGACAUGUUAGGUAUUUGAGUACUACAGAAGACAAAAUAAUUCAGAGGGCAAAAUGAAUAAUACAGAGCUAGGAAUAAUAGCAAUUAUUGACAACAUCCUGGCUAGAAAAUGCAUGGGAAUGGAGAUGGGAAAAAAUGCAUUUUAUCCAUUUGAUAGCCCAGAAUGAAUAAGUUUAAGAAAAGGUACAUGUAGUGAAAUAACUUUUAUGAAGAUAUGCUAAACUGGAUAUUAAAAGGAUGUAACAUUAGACGGAUCCAGAAAUAGUGACAAAACAAAGUGUAUCAGAAAACAAAAGGAACACUCUUGUGAAUAAAAACCAUGUUGGAAUGCAGAACUAGAAAAAUAGCUGUAUAAAAUGAAUUAUCAAGGCCGUCAUACAGAGCUUGGAUAUUGCAACAUAAACUGUAAUGAUAUUAUACAAAUGGGAUAAAUGAAUUAUCAUCAAUAGACUUUAACAUUUUCAUUCUAUAGAUCUGAUUUAGCAACGUAUAGAUAC